rnacentral:rRNA from 1 species
GACGAACGCUGGCGGCGUGCUUAACACAUGCAAGUCGAACGGAAAGGCCCUGCUUUUGUGGGGUGCUCGAGUGGCGAACGGGUGAGUAACACGUGAGUAACCUGCCCUUGACUUUGUGAUAACUUCAGGAAACUGGGGCUAAUACCGGAUAGGAGCUCCUGCUGCAUGGUGGGGGUUGGAAAGUUUCGGCGGUUGGGGAUGGACUCGCGGCUUAUCAGCUUGUUGGUGGGGUAGUGGCUUACCAAGGCUUUGACGGGUAGCCGGCCUGAGAGGGUGACCGGCCACAUUGGGACUGAGAUACGGAGCAGACUCCUACGGGAGGCAGCAGUGGGGAAUAUUGCACAAUGGGCGGAAGCCUGAUGCAGCAACGCCGCGUGCGGGAUGACGGCCUUCGGGUUGUAAACCGCUUUCGCCUGUGACGAAGCGUGAGUGACGGUAAUGGGUAAAGAAGCACCGGCUAACUACGUG